UACGUAGGGUGCGAGCGUUGUCCGGAAUUAUUGGGCGUAAAGGGCUCGUAGGCGGUUUGUUGCGUCAGGAGGGAAAACUCGGGGCUUAACCCCGAGCCUGCUUCUGAUACGGGCAGACUAGAGGUAUGCAGGGGAGAACGGAAUUCCUGGUGUAGCGGUGAAAUGCGCAGAUAUCAGGAGGAACACCGAUGGCGAAGGCAGGUCUCUGGGCCACUACUGACGCUGAGAAGCGAAAGCAUGGGGAGCGAACAGG
rnacentral:rRNA from 1 species